UCAAGAUGUGUGGCUUCACCGAGGACCACACUGCAGAGUUCAAGGAGGCCUUCCAGCUGUUUGACUGAACAGGUGAUGGCAAGAUCCUGUACAGCCAGCGUGGGGACGUGAUGAGGGACCUGGGCCAGAAAUUCACCAACAUUGAGGUGCCCAAAGUCCUGGGGAACUCCACGAGUGAUGAAAUGAAUGUGAAGGUGCUGAACUUUGAGCACUUUCUGCCCAUGCUGCAGAUGGUGGUGGCCAAAAACAAGGACCAGGGCACCUAUGAGGAUUAUGUCAAAGGACUUCAGUGUUUGACAAGGAAGGAAAUGGCACUGUCAUGGGUGCUGAAAUCUGGCAUGUUCUUGUCACACUGGGUGAGAAGAUGACAGAGGAAGAAGUAGAGAUGCUAGGGGCAGGGCACAAGGACAACAAUGGUUGUAUUAACUAUGAAGAGCUCAUCCGCAUGGUGCCGAAUGGCUGAGGACCUUCCCAGUCUCCCCAGAGCCCAUGCUUUUCCCUGUUUUGGAUUUUUUAUCUGUCCUGAAGGCUCCCUAGACUCUCUGGUCAUAGCACCUUUCCCAUCUUUUGUCUCUUGGAUGAUUUUUGCCGUCAGCAUUCACCAAAUAAACUUGCUGUCU